rnacentral:rRNA from 1 species
CGUACACUCCUGCGGGAGGCAGCAGUGGGGAAUAUUGGACAAUGGGCGCAAGCCUGAUCCAGCCAUGCCGCGUGAGUGAUGAAGGCCCUAGGGUUGUAAAGCUCUUUCACCGGUGAAGAUAAUGACGGUAACCGGAGAAGAAGCCCCGGCUAACUUCGUGCCAGCAGCCGCGGUAAUACGAAGGGGGCUAGCGUUGUUCGGAUUUACUGGGUGUAAAGCGCACGUAGGCGGACUAUUAAGUCAGGGGUGAAAUCCCGGGGCUCAACCCCGGAACUGCCUUUGAUACUGGUAGUCUUGAGUUCGAGAGAGGUGAGUGGAAUUCCGAGUGUAGAGGUGAAAUUCGUAGAUAUUCGGAGGAACACCAGUGGCGAAGGCGGCUCACUGGCUCGAUACUGACGCUGAGGUGCGAAAGCGUGGGGAGCAAACAGGAUUAGAAACCCGGGUAGUCCCAUGAU